rnacentral:sRNA from 1 species
CGGGCGACAGAAGAUGACAGCUAACGCGUCGACGAGAGCAGCGGAGGGACAUUACCGAGUUUAAACUCCCAAACCCAAUGUGAACGUUACCAAACUGUUGCCUCGGCGGGAUCUCUGCCCCGGGUGCGUCGCAGCCCCGGACCAAGGCGCCCGCCGGAGGACCAACCAAAACUCUUAUUGUAUACCCCCUCGCGGGUUUUUUUAUAAUCUGAGCCUUCUCGGCGCCUCUCGUAGGCGUUUCGAAAAUGAAUCAAAACUUUCAACAACGGAUCUCUUGGUUCUGGCAUCGAUGAAGAACGCAGCGAAAUGCGAUAAGUAAUGUGAAUUGCAGAAUUCAGUGAAUCAUCGAAUCUUUGAACGCACAUUGCGCCCGCCAGUAUUCUGGCGGGCAUGCCUGUCCGAGCGUCAUUUCAACCCUCGAACCCCUCCGGGGGGUCGGCGUUGGGGAUCGGCCCUGCCUUGGCGGUGGCCGUCUCCGAAAUACAGUGGCGGUCUCGCCGCAGCCUCUCCUGCGCAGUAGUUUGCACACUCGCAUCGGGAGCGCGGCGCGUCCACAGCCGUUAAACACCCAACUUCUGAAAUGUUGACCUCGGAUCAGGUAGGAAUACCCGCUGAACUUAAGCAUAUCAAUAAGCGGAGGAAAAGAAACCAACAGGGAUUGCCCCAGUAACGGCGAGGA